ensembl:lncRNA
CCACCCUCCCUCGAGAGGAAUGCAGGGCCUCGCUCCCGUCCACCCGGCAUGGGAUUGGCGUCUUUGUGUUAUUUGCUUCUUUUUCUACCAAAAGGAGUUCAAAAGUUGAGAGCUGAUUAGUAUUCCAGGCACCAGGACGGCUGCAAACCAGCUCGAGGCGCAGGUAGGGGGUGCUGGGGGGUGGCGAUUGAAGCCUGGGCUCACCCCCACCCCGCUGGAGACCCCGCUACCGAAACUGGAAGAGCGUUCCUGGCCGCCCCUGCCCUCCCUGGCCGCCCCUGCCCUCGCCGCCUCCACGGUCACCCCACCUCGCCCUGCCCUUGGUCCUGGAGCCGUCAGGCAGCCCGGGGUCCGGGGGACUCUCCCGGGAUCUCACUGGCUGCCUUUGCAGGCGAGCAUAGCAUUUGCAUACAUUUGUAUAAGUUAUGCAUCGAGAACCCUUCUCUUUAACAUUGCAACCUAAUGAAAUCACUCAGACAGCACAUUAAAAACACAGCUGACUCUGGGAAGUCUGACCCUUUCCAUGUUAAAUCAUUUGAAUGAUCCUUUGAAUCUAUUUGCACAAGUGGCGCAUUCAAAUGGCCCUCGCCCAGGUUUUCGGAGUUAAUGAGACAAUUGGGCCACCUCCGGGGGGUGGGGGACGUGCCCGCUGCUCGCCUUAUGCUGCCCAGGGUGCUGGGAACCUCAGGCGGCCAGGGGCGUCCCCAGCAGGAUGGCAGGCGCUCCCGGGCAUGAAGAAAUGAACCCAGGGAGUCCCCACCAAACAAAUCCAUCUCACGGGCCCUCUGGGUGGGACACGAACCUGCACCUGUGCAGAGGUGUGAGGAUGCAGAGAAGAGCUAAAACACGCAGAGCAGGGUGCCAGACCCCACUGCAGGGAACCCUGGUGUCGCAGGGGAGCCAGGGCCCCCAGCAGCGUGCUGGGCCUGUAGGUCCUGCAGACCGAGGCUGCCCACCCCCAGGGCAGGGCCUCCAGGCAGCCAGCCAGGAGCACACUGCACUCCCCAGGAUGGAGACCUCCUCUCAAGGUCAGGCUCUCAGAGCGCAGGGUCAGCAGGUUCUCUGCAGGCAGCACGCUGAGCUGGGUCCUGGCAGGAGGGCCCUAGGACCCCCUUUGUACUUAGUAUCUCACCAAGGGCAUUGUUCACGGACACUUUGUUUUCACUGGCUUCUCACGAAAACCUUCAAAUACCAGAGAGGAAAGCUAGUCCAUAAUGUGUGUGACGCGCUCGAGAUGCUCAGCUAACGGGGGCGGCGUGAAGAUGGACCGAGUCCAGGGCUGCCCGUCUCACUUCCUAGAGGCCCCCGCUCUGGAGGGUCCUUCCCUUGCCUUGCAUGUCCCUGCCCAGCUGGGCAUCCUCUCGGGAAGCAGCACUCUGGCUGGAAGCCCUUCCCUGGGGAAUUUUGUCCACAGCCAGCGUGCGGAGACUGGGCCCCCGGGCCUGGUGAGAAUUAUUUCUUCCCAGGAGCAGGAUGGGGGGCUGGCCUGAGCUCAGCACCGCUCACGUCACCCGGCUCCUCACAGGCCAGCUUGAAUCCUCCGAUCGCCGGGCUCCCGAAGCUUGUAGCCCCAGGGUGGAUGAAAGUACAGCGAGCCACACCCGGGUCCACAGUGAGUCCCUCGGGCCCUAGGUCUGGGCAGCCAGACCUUUGCCCUGGUUGGUUCGCAGGCAGCAGAUGCCUGCGUCCUUUGAGAGCCGUCCCUGACGGACUCUCUGCAGCCCCGCCAGCUUAUCUGGAAGCGGCCCCCGCGCCAUCUGGACCUGAGAAUCCGAGCCCUCCGGUCUGGCCCGUCAUUUCACUCGAGUCAGCGAAGAUUUAUGGCCCCGUGCAGUGCACCAGCCCCCAUCAGGGUCUGCGCCGGGCACGGGCCAGGGGACCCACGGCGCGGGCUGUCCAUCAGCCUGUCCGGGAGCAGUGGGGGUCCUCCUCCCGAGGCUUCCUGCCAGGACGGGCAGACGUUGCACAGCACGUCCGGCCCGAAGCGAGUGUUUCCUUUGGCAGAAGGUUCUCUUCGCCGAGGCUGCGUCAGCCAGAAAGGCUGGGAUUGCAGAAGAUCAAGAAACCGUCCUUUUCGUCUUCAACUCACCUGUCGGGCACGGUCCCGUCUCACCUUUACCACAAAGCGACAGCACAUUCGGGGUUAAAAUCACUCAUCCUCCGUCUGCGGCAAAAGAUCUCGGUGUGGGGAGGGUUUAUCGACCGCCCGGAAAGCAGCCAUUCCGCCAGUCUCAACCGCUCCACUGCCGUUGCAGGGCACAGAACUGCCGGCGCGUUUUCACAAGAGUGCGCGCACCAGGCGCUGGAUCCAAGAGCACGGCCGCAGGUGGUGCUCGCACAGUGACACCGUCGGGGGCCGGCAGAGUCACCACCUGACGGGAGCCGGAGCUGGCUCAGGGGCGACGCGGCCCCUUGCAGGCUGAACCCCAAGAUAAGCGCUGUGUGACCCUGUGGCCGCCGGCCAGAGCGCCCAGUGGCUGACCAGCAUUCAAGGUCUGCGGGUGUCCCAGCACCCACCCCAGCCUCGCCCUCCGCCUCCCACCGCUAACGGUGGGACCCGUGACUCCUUGGAAGAUUUAUCAGAAAUCACUGAUUUUUAAUUGUUUUAGAAACACCCUAAGUGAGGAAGAUUUCCUAGGUGUGUCUCCACUCCGAUGAGGCGUGAUGUGUGCACAGCACAUUUUGUUAACACCCUCACUCCCAGCACUCAAGGCUUGCUUAUGAGAAAGGUCCUUCUGAUUGUGGGAUACUGGCAGUCAAACAACAUACGGGCCCCCGCGUCCUGAACCCUGCAGGGCACAGACCCCGCAUGCUGCAUGCUGCUCUCAAAUGUGGGCUCCCUGCAGCCCUUGCUUCCCCACCCAGUGUGACCCCCCCACACUGGCUGGCCCUCCUCUACCCCGAAAAGUGACCCCCUCGGUGCCACCAAAGCUGUUUUCCCACUCCGUGCUGGACACGGCUGUGGCUCCUGGUCGCCACACAGCCAACACCAGAAUCAGAUGCCCAGCCACCCCUCCUCACUCUGUUCCCGUCCCCCAGCCCCUGGCUCCUGCGACACUGAACACCCACCAACGCCCACUCUGGUCCAGCGGCCGGAGCUAUCAGGGUCCAGCCCGGGUCAGUGCAGGUUCGCUCAGGGCUACCAGCCAGCCUCUGGACCACAGACUGAGUCCUUCCACUUGCUUUUGCAUCACAAGCGAACAUGUCUGGUUUAGUAAACAGUAAAGGCUGGCGUCUAGCAGAGCUGGAUUCAGAGCCAGCACGUGUCUGGCCAGCAUCAGCCACAGGGAGCAGGACCCCCCCUGCUCACAAAUCCCUACUCAGCCAUGGGCACGGUGAUCCGUCUCUCACUACUUGUCUCUUGCUGUUCUGAGUACUUUCCGGGAAUUUUUCUAGGCAGUGUGCGAGCAAUCAUCACUGAAGUGUGCCAAACACCCUGCCUCUGUUUUAUUGUUUUCACAGUUUUUGCAGCUCAUUGCCUGUGUUCACCCUCCAGUCCUUUGCCUGCCCCAGUCCGCCUCCAGGAAACCACCGCACGUGUUUGCUUCUGUCUUGGAAUAAGCUGUGUGUGGUCGGGUCGUUCAGAACGGCUGUCCAGGACCUGCUUCACCUACACCUUAGCCAUGUGGCUGACCUUCCUGCGCACUGGCCCCAGGCCCCAGCUGUGAUGUUCUUAUCAAAGAGGUCAUAAGGGGCGUGCCCCUCUGCAGGGUUCCCUGGUAACCGAUGAGCCACACCUGGCAAUCUCCUCUCCCCACUGGGAGCAAAUGCUGCCACACGUCCUGUCCACCACCCACUGCACCCGGUGGGGUGUUGCUCCAGGAGCUUCUUCAGACAUGCAUGCUCCCCCUUCCGUGAAACCACUGACGUCUCUGUCUCUGCCUCCAGGCUCUUUCUUCGGUCCUAAAGCUGGGUGAGCACCAGGCUUGCAGCCUGCGGGGUGCAGCCCAACAGGAACACACAGGAGAGCUUCCGUGUUUAUGUCUGAACCGACUGACUGUCAUGGGGCUGAGCCUCCGCACCGCUUGCCCUGCGAUGCACUCAAAGUGCUCCGUGUCCAGCACCCGCUGCAGACUGCAUGAGGCCCCGGCUGACGCAGGGCCCCCCAUGUCUCCUCCGCCUUUACCCCCUCUUCUGGGUCACACACCUUGGGUGCCGGCAUCUCCUGUUCACACCGCAUUGAGUGUGCUAAGACACCACCCCGUGCCUGCAGACAGUUGUCAGAGCCGGUACCCAGGCUGCUCCCACCCCAUCACCUGGAUUCCCAUUUUUGUCCAUCCUCUACCAGCAGCUGGAUUCAUCAGGCUUUUCCCUUUUGAAAGUACAAUGAGUACGAGAUGAAGGAGCAAUGCUGUUUAACUCAGCAUUUCUCUGGUUGCCCGUGUGCUGUGUCUUCCAGGCAUUCAGGUUCCCCCUCUUCUGAAUGGCCUACACAUUUCUUGGCAAAUUUUUCUUGAUUGUCCUCCUUUUCUCCUUCUUAAUUUUGAAGAAGCGUUGCACCUCCUCUAGCUGGCCAUGCCUUGUCAGCUUUAAAUGUUGACGGUGUCUUCUGAGCCAUCCUCCAGCUCCUCACCAUACGGUCAGCGGAUCCAUCCCUCUUCGUGACGGGCGGUGCUUUGGAAGAAAGCACACGGUUAUAGAACCCCCUCCUCACUUGAGAGUACGGAGACCCUCUCGCGUUUCUUCAGUGGCCUUUACAGCUGCCCCCGUCGCUCUGGUCUUCAGUCCUUCCAGCGACGGCCUUAGCUUGGUCAGAGGCUGUGCGUCUAAGGAUUCUUUUCUCUGCAGACUGCAUGUCACCUCCUUGCUGGGCACCAGAUCACCCAUCCUCUCCUCACUGAAGUGCUGUUACUUGCAGGGCCCCCAAAUUUCUAACCAUGUUUCUGAAAUCUGUUUUCUGUCUCUUGUCUACAAGUCAGUUUUCUCCAGAAGCAGGAUUUUCCUGAUCACUUCUUUCCAGUGUGUCUUAAUAUAUGGUAGCCUAACUCCCCUUUCUCUUUUCUUUUUCAAAAGUGUCUUGUUUAUUCUGGAUAUUUGUUGCUUCACAAAUUUUAAAUGAUUUUAUUCUUUAAAACAACCAUACUAGAGUUUUUAUUGGAACAGCAUUACUUGGGUAGAUGUAUUGAGGUGGGGUGAAACAUUUCACAAUGCCAAGUUGCCUCAUCCAUGAAUAUGGUAUAUGUCUUGCCUUCUUUCACAUCCGACGUGAUGUCUGUCUUCUAGUAAAUUUUAUGUUUUCUUUACGAGGGUCUCAGGCAUCUUGUGUUAAUUCUUUG